CCGCGCGUUGCUAUCGUAGCCGGUGCAGACGCGUCGAGUUAAUAACGUAUACAAAAACAAUCGGUUUAUAUUAUUACGAUGAGCGGUAAUUAAACGCCGAACGGCGCACAAAUAAAGUCAAAAAGUGUCGAUUUUCUGAAGAAUGAGGUUAUGAGAAGCAUGGGGAGCAUUCAAAAUUGCUUUUCGUUCACUUUUCCACUCCGCAUUCCAAUUUCGGGGCGUUAAAAGCUAAAACGAGGUUGCAAGGACACUCAAAGGAUGCGUUCGAAAGCGAUAAAAGACCAGCGAAGGAAAGAAUGAGGAAUAUGGACAAGGACGAAGCGUUUUCCGCAGUUUUGAUUUUUCCAGUCUUUACAUUUUCACGACUCUACCUUGACUCCCGGUGGUCGUGGAGGAGCCUAAAGCUCAAGGAUUUACAAGUUCAACAUACAGUAUGUUAAACAAAAUCUUAAAAUUAAUAUUAAAAUAAUUUUAAUAAAAAUUAUGACAAAUUCAUAAUUAAACACCCUGUAUAUAACAAAA